rnacentral:rRNA from 1 species
CUACUGGGGUUUCUAAUCCUGUUCGCUCCCCACACUUUCGCUCCUCAGCGUCAGGUAAUGCCCAGAGAACCGCCUUCGCCACCGGUGUUCCUCCUGAUAUCUGCGCAUUUCACCGCUACACCAGGAAUUCCAUUCUCCCCUGCAUACCUCUAGUCAGCCCGUAUCGGAAGCAGGCACGGAGUUAAGCCCCGUGUUUUCACUCCCGACGCGACAAACCGCCUACGAGCCCUUUACGCCCAAUAAUUCCGGACAACGCUCGCACCCUACGUAUUACCGCGGCGGCUGGCAC